rnacentral:rRNA from 1 species
GGAAUUGUUCACAAUGGGCGCAAGCCUGAUGACGCAACGCCGCGUGGAGGAUGAAGGUUUUCGGAUUGUAAACUCCUGUUGCCCGGGACGAAAAGCGCCGACCUAAUACGUCGGAGUGUGACGGUACCGGGUGAGGAAGCCCCGGCUAACUCUGUGCCAGCAGCCGCGUUAAUACAGAGGGGGCAAGCGUUGUUCGGAAUUACUGGGCGUAAAGGGCGCGUAGGCGGCCUGCUAAGUCGAACGUGAAAUCCCCGGGCUCAACCCGGGAACUGCGUCCGAUACUGGCAGGCUUGAAUCCGGGAGAGGGAUGCGGAAUUCCAGGUGUAGCGGUGAAAUGCGUAGAUAUCUGGAGGAACACUGGUGGCGAAGGCGGCAUCCUGGACCGGCAUUGACGCUGAGGCGCGAAAGCCAGGGGAGCAAA